GUAGCAUAAUCAUUAGUUUUUUAAUUGAAAACUGGUAUGAAGGGUUGGACAAAGGAAAGACUGUCUUUAAAAUAUAAGUUGAAAUUUACUUUUAAGUGAAAAGGCUUAAAUAUUUCAGAGGGACGAUAAGACCCUAUAAAGCUUUAUAUAUUAUUUAAAUUUGAUUGAUUUAUUGAUAUAAAAGUUAAGUUUAGGUUAUUAUAUUUUGUUGGGGCGACAUGAGUAUAAUUUUUAUUAACUGCUUAAGGGAAAUACAAUUAUAGGUGUAUUAAAGUUAUAUGAUCCUAUUUAAAGAUUAAAAGAACAAGUUACUUUAGGGAUAACAGCGUUAUUUCUUUUGAGAGCCCAUAUCGAAAAAGAAGUUUGCGACCUCGAUGUUGAAUUAAAAUAUCUAUAUAAUGCAGCAGUUAUAAAAGAGGGUCUGUUCGACCUUUAAAUUUUUACAUGAUUUGAGU
rnacentral:rRNA from 1 species